rnacentral:rRNA from 1 species
GGAGGCAGCAGUGAGGAAUAUUGGUCAAUGGGCGAGAGCCUGAACCAGCCAAGUAGCGUGAAGGAUGAAGGCUCUAUGGGUCGUAAACUUCUUUUAUAUGGGAAUAAAGUUUUCCACGUGUGGAAUUUUGUAUGUACCAUAUGAAUAAGGAUCGGCUAACUCCGUGCCAGCAGCCGCGGUAAUACGGAGGAUCCGAGCGUUAUCCGGAUUUAUUGGGUUUAAAGGGAGCGUAGGUGGAUUGUUAAGUCAGUUGUGAAAGUUUGCGGCUCAACCGUAAAAUUGCAGUUGAAACUGGCAGUCUUGAGUACAGUAGAGGUGGGCGGAAUUCGUGGUGUAGCGGUGAAAUGCUUAGAUAUCACGAAGAACUCCGAUUGCGAAGGCAGCUCACUGGACUGCAACUGACACUGAUGCUCGAAAGUGUGGGUAUCAAACAGGAUUAGAUACCCUGGUAGUCCACACAGUAAACGAUGAAUACUCGCUGUUUGCGAUAUACAGUAAGCGGCCAAGCGAAAGCAUUAAGUAUUCCACCUGGGGAGUACGCCGGCAACGGUGAAACUCAAAGGAAUUGACGGGGGCCCGCACAAGCGGAGGAACAUGUGGUUUAAUUCGAUGAUACGCGAGGAACCUUACCCGGGCUUAAAUUGCAACAGAAUAUAUUGGAAACAGUAUAGCCGUAAGGCUGUUGUGAAGGUGCUGCAUGGUUGUCGUCAGCUCGUGCCGUGAGGUGUCGGCUUAAGUGCCAUAACGAGCGCAACCCUUAUCUUUAGUUACUAACAGGUCAUGCUGAGGACUCUAGAGAGACUGCCGUCGUAAGAUGUGAGGAAGGUGGGGAUGACGUCAAAUCAGCACGGCCCUUACGUCCGGGGCUACACACGUGUUACAAUGGGGGGUACAGAAGGCGGCUACCUGGUGACAGGAUGCUAAUCCCAAAAACCUCUCUCAGUUCGGAUCGAAGUCUGCAACCCGACUUCGUGAAGCUGGAUUCGCUAGUAAUCGCGCAUCAGCCAUGGCGCGGUGAAUACGUUCCCGGGCCUUGUACACACCGCCCGUCAAGCCAUGGGAGCCGGGGGUACCUGAAGUGCGUAACCGCGAGGAUCGCCCUAGGGUAAAACUGGUGACUGGGGCUAAGUCGUAACAAGGUAGCCGUACCGGAAGGUGCGGCUG